GGCAGUUCUUGCAGGGUUCUAUAUGAUGAGGCAUCCGAGGUUCCGUCACAGGAUGCCGUCAGCGCCGAUAAACUUCUUCCGUAGGUUGCCGGCGAGGACUGACAGUAUGCUGUAAAUACAGUGGUAUGUCUGCUUCUGCUUCUCAGUUAUUUUCGCCUCUGUUGGAACUUUAUGUUUGGUGAACUAGCUUAUAAAUUUGAGUAGAACUUGAGAAA
rnacentral:misc_RNA from 1 species